GAUGAACGCUGGCGGCGUGCUUAACACAUGCAAGUCGAACGGAAAGGCUCCUGCUUGCAGGGGUACUCGAGUGGCGAACGGGUGAGUAACACGUGGGUGAUCUGCCCUGCACUUCGGGAUAAGCCUGGGAAACUGGGUCUAAUACCGGAUAGGACCACAUUUUGGAUGGUGUGGUGGAAAGUUUUUCGGUGUGGGAUGAGCUCGCGGCCUAUCAGCUUGUUGGUGGGGUAAUGGCCUACCAAGGCGUCGACGGGUAGCCGGCCUGAGAGGGUGUACGGCCACAUUGGGACUGAGAUACGGCCCAGACUCCUACGGGAGGCAGCAGUGGAGAAUAUUGCACAAUGGGCGCAAGCCUGAUGCAGCGACGCCGCGUGGGGGAUGACGGCCUUCGGGUUGUAAACUCCUUUCGCUAGGGACGAAGCGCAAGUGACGGUACCUGGAGAAGAAGCACCGGCUAACUACGUG
rnacentral:rRNA from 1 species